rnacentral:rRNA from 1 species
CACCGCCCGUCACAUCACGAAAAGUGGGUUGUACUAGAAGUCUGCAGGCCGACCCGCAAGGGGGGCAGCGGCCCAAGGUAUGACUCAUGAUUGGGGUG